CUGCAGGAAAUCUCAAAUAUCAUAAAGUUCUGAUCUGCUCAGGGGGGUUCAGGAGGAAGUUUCUUUUGGGGUUUUUUUUGUUGUGGUGGUGGGUGGUGGUAGUGGUUUGGUUUGGUUUUGGUUUUGUUCCAUCUAUCUCUGUGCUUUUUCCCCUCAGGGGGAAGGUUCUAUAUAGUUCCUAGCUUUCACUGCCUGAAUAGCAAUAAAAACAUUUCCUUUCAUUUUCUCCCUUCCUUCUUCAGUUCAACCAGAUCAGUACCAAAAGACUAUAUGCUAGCAGAAAUCUCAAGACCAUUCCAAGCUUUGUCUUCACCUGGAGGCAGUCUCAGAGAUCCCAAGGCAGUGGCUGACACUUUUCCUCCAUGCUUUGAGAGGAAGAGAAUUGGCUGGAAUAAAACCUUGCCUUCCACAUGGUCGACUUGA
rnacentral:lncRNA from 1 species